rnacentral:rRNA from 1 species
CAGCAGCCGCGGUAAAACGGAGGGGGCUAGGGUUGUUCGGAAUUACUGGGCGUAAAGCGCACGUAGGCGGCUUGGUAAGUUAGAGGUGAAAGCCUGGAGCUCAACUCCAGAAUUGCCUUUAAGACUGCCGAGCUAGCAGGUGAGAGAGGUAAGUGGAAUUCCGAGUGUAGAGGUGAAAUUCGUAGAUAUUCGGAAGAACACCAGUGGCGAAGGCGGCUUACUGGCUCAUACUGGACGCUGAGGUGCGAAAGCGUGGGGAGCAAACAGGAUUAGAUACCCCUGUAGUCCCUGUCUCUUAUAC